rnacentral:rRNA from 1 species
CCUUCAUGAAGUCGGAAUUGCUAGUAAUGGCAGGUCAGCAUACUGCCGUGAAUACGUUCCCGGGCCUUGUACACACCGCCCGUCACACCAUGAGAGUUGGAGAUACCCGAAGCCUAUGAGCUAACUUUUAGAGGCAGUAGUCGAAGGUAGAAUCAAUGAUUGGGGUGAAGUCGUAACAAGGUACC